GUUCUCGCUUCAGCAACACAUAUACUAAAAUUGAAACGAUAGAGAGAAGAUUAGCAUGGCCCCCAUGCAAGAAUGACACCCAAGGAAUUGAGGCAUCCUGGGAGCUA